UUUCGUACGAGGUUUGGAGACACGUCAUCAAUCUCCGUCUCUGUUCCCAUUGGAUCCCUUCCACCCGUUCGACGAAAUGUCACCGCGAUGCACAGCGCGAAGGGUGGCGGCAGGCACGAGCGCUGCGACCCAUGCUCGUCGCCCACAGGGCUUGAUCCCGCUGUUACUUCUCUUGGCUUUGGCCUGGAAGAUCGGCCCUUUGAUCGUCUCCCCUGUAGCUUGCCACCAGGAUCGCGGCGUCGAAUCCGCACAGGGGUCCGAGGAAGCCCUUCUCGGAGACGUUAUGAAAUGCAGAAUGCUAAGCAAGUGGAGAAUGAUGAUGGUCUAAAAGCCAAAAUGGCAAAGAGAACAUGGCAUAUGGAAACUAAGACAUCUGACAGUGCAUAGUUAGACUUGUUGCACAGUUAAAACACAACUGAAUGACUCAUGAUGAACUAUCAUGACCUCUUUCUGCCCUUCUCUGGACUGCGUUUGAUGGAUGGCACAAGCCUUAAGUAUCUCUUCAUUUACCGCAUUAGUGAUGCGUGGUUUCCUAGCACCCAAGUUUACUUGUAAUCUUCAUUUCUUCACAUAGAGCAGUGAAAUAGUAGAAUGGCCAAUGUCAUAUUGGAUUGGUAGUGCAUGUGGAUGGUGACUGUUUUGACAUUACCAAAUGCCUUGCAAUGCAAUGAAUGUUUGGGUGUAGAUUUCAGCAUGAUCAA